rnacentral:rRNA from 1 species
GAUGAACGCUGGCGGCGUGCCUAAUACAUGCAAGUCGAGCGAACAGACGAGGAUCUUGCUCCUCUCACGUUAGCGGCGCACGGGUGAGUCACACGUGGAUACCCUACCUAUCAGACUGGUAUAAUCUCGGGAAACCGGAGCUAAUACCGGAUAAUAUAUUGAACCGUGUGGUGCAAUAGUGAAAGUCGGUUUUUGUGUCACGUAUAGAUGGUUCCGCGCCGCAUUAGCUGGUUGGGAGGUUAACGGGUUAGCAAGGCGACUAUGCGUGGCCGACGUGAGGGGGGGGUCGGCCACACGGGAACGGGGCCACGCUCCAGGGUCCUACGGGAGGCAGCAGUAGGGAACCUGCCGCAAUGGGCGAGAGCCUGACGGAGCAACGCCGCGUGAGUGGUGAAGGUCUUCGGAUCGUAAAACUGUGUUAUUAGGGAAGAACAAAUGUGUAAGUAACUAUGCACGGCUUGACGGUACCUGAUCAGAAAGCCACGGCUAACUACGUG